GUUUGAUCAUGGCUCAGAUUGAACGCUGGCGGCAGGCCUAACACAUGCAAGUCGAACGGUAACAGGAAGCAGCUUGCUGCUUCGCUGACGAGUGGCGGACGGGGGAGUAAUGUCUGGGAAACUGCCUGAUGGAGGGGGAUAACUACUGGAAACGGUAGCUAAUACCGCAUAACGUCGCAAGACCAAAGAGGGGGACCUUCGGGCCUCUUGCCAUCGGAUGUGCCCAGAUGGGAUUAGCUUGUUGGUGGGGUAAUGGCUCACCAAGGCGACGAUCCCUAGCUGGUCUGAGAGGAUGACCAGCCACACUGGAACUGAGACACGGUCCAGACUCCUACGGGAGGCAGCAGUGGGGAAUAUUGCACAAUGGGCGCAAGCCUGAUGCAGCCAUGCCGCGUGUAUGAAGAAGGCCUUCGGGUUGUAAAGUACUUUCAGCGGGGAGGAAGGGAGUAAAGUUAAUACCUUUG
rnacentral:rRNA from 1 species